rnacentral:tRNA from 1 species
GCCAACAUAGCUCAGCUGGUAGAGCAACGGUUUUGUAAACCGUAGGUCGUCGGUUCGAACCCGACUGUUGGCU